rnacentral:rRNA from 1 species
GAUGAACGCUGGCGGCGUGCCUAAUACAUGCAAGUCGAGCGAACGGACGAGAAGCUUGCUUCUCUGAUGUUAGCGGCGGACGGGUGAGUAACACGUGGAUAACCUACCUAUAAGACUGGGAUAACUUCGGGAAACCGGAGCUAAUACCGGAUGAUAUUUUGAACCGCAUGGUUCAAAAGUGAAAGACGGUCUUGCUGUCACCUAUAGAUGGAUCCGCGCUGCAUUAGCUAGUUGGUAAGGUAACGGCUUACCAAGGGAACGAUGCAUAGCCGACCUGGGAGGGGGGACGGCCAACCUGGAAACGGAAACAGGUCCAAACCCCAAAGGGGGGCCACGGGAGGGAACCUUCCGCAAUGGGCGAAGGCCUGACGGAGCAACGCCGCGUGAGUGAUGAAGGUCUUCGGAUCGUAAAACUCUGUUAUUAGGGAAGAACAUAUGUGUAAGUAACUGUGCACAUCUUGACGGUACCUAAUCAGAAAGCCACGGCUAACUACGUG